rnacentral:lncRNA from 1 species
AGGCAUAUCUACAAAGGCAGCAUUUAACCGUAUUUGACUACAAUUGAAAGUUAAAAAUUGAAAUUUUUGACGGCUGGGUGCAAUGGCUCACACCUGUAAUCCCAGCACUUCGGGAGGCUGAGGUGGGUGGAUCACCUGAGGCCAGGAAUUCGAGACCAGCCUGGGCAACAUGGUGAAGUCCUGUCUCUACUAAAAAUGCGAAAAUUAGCCGGGCUUGAUGGUUCCCAGCUGAGGCACGAGAAUUGCACGAAUCCGGGAGGCAGAGGUUGCAGUGAGCUGAGAUUGCACCAGGCACUCCAGCCUAGGCGACAAAGUGAGACACUGUCUCAAAAAUAAAUAAAUAAAUAAAUAAAUAAAAUUUAGGGGAAUUAAAAACUGGAAAUUAAGUUUUUCAAGUAUACAUCUCUCUAAUAAUAAAAUAACCACUUAAAGUGAAAAAAGGAAAAAAAAGAAUGGUCAACUAGUAGAUCCACUCUAAAAGUAGAGCAUCAAGCAUUAGUAACUCUAAUAAAUAGAAAAUAUGUUUUAGAAUUUGAAAACAUUAGUGAGGCAGAUGGUAUUUUCCAAAGAUGGCUGCACCAAUAUAUUUCAUCCCACAUGUUUUUCUUAUAAUGUGAUGUUGACAUUUCUGCAUUGAGAAAUGGGGACUGAGUUCCCUCUUCUUGAAUCUGGGUGGGCAUUUGUAAUGGCCUCAACCAAUAGAAGACAUCAUAAAUGGUACAAUGUGACCUCAGAAGUUAAGUCAUAAAAAAAUUCAGAUUCUGCUCUGUUUUCUCUUUCUAGGGACAAAUGCUUUUGGAAUCCUGACCUGACAUGAAAAAAGUUCACCUGAAGCUGCCAUCCUGGAAGACUAUGAGAUGGAGAUGCCCAAGAAGCCCCAGGUAUUCCUAAUCCCAAUUGUUUAAGUCUUUCCAGUGUUAACCACCAGAUAUGUGAUGGAUUAAGGACUCCAGAUUAUUCCAGUUCCCAGCUGUCUUAGUCAGGGUUCUCCGGAGAAGUUAUCACAUGAUUACAGAGGCUGGCAAGUCUGACGUCUGCAGGAUAGACCAGCAAGUCGGAGACCCAUGGAAGUUGAUGCUGCAGCUCAAGUCCAAAGGCAAUCUGCUGGCAGAAUCCUCUCUUCUGUUUACUCAGUGUGUUUUUACUUAAGAAACUGAUUGGAUGAGCCCCACCCACAUUAUGGAGGGUAAUUUACUUUACUCAAAGUUUACUUAUUUAAAUGUUAAUCUCGUUUAAAAAAUACCUUCAAAGCAACAUCCAGACUGGUGUUUAACCAAGUAUCUGGGUCCUAUGACCUUGCUAAAUUGACACAUAAAAUUAACCAUUACACCAACCAUUAAGCUACCCCAGCUAACACCAACUGGAACAGCAACAAGCUGCUCCACCAAGUAUGCCCAAAUUGUAGAAUUGUGAGCAUAAUAAAUAUUGUAAUUUUAAUCCACUAGCUUUCAGGAUAAUUUGUUAUUCAGCAUUAGUAGCUAGAAGUUAUAUUUGUAAACCAUAGUCUAUUUGUAUAUACAUUUGUUGUUUCAUUCCUUUUUUUUGAGAUGGAGUCUCGCUCUGUCACCCAGGCUGGAGUGUAGUGGCGUCAUCUUGGCUCACUGCAAACUCCGCCUCCCUGGUUCA